rnacentral:rRNA from 1 species
UGCUUACACAUGCAAGUCGAGCGGUAAGGCCUUUCGGGGUACACGAGCGGCGAACGGGUGAGUAACACGUGGGUGAUCUGCCUUGCACUCUGGGAUAAGCCUGGGAAACUGGGUCUAAUACCGGAUAUGACCUUAUGCCGCAUGGUGUUUGGUGGAAAGAUUUAUCGGUGCGAGAUGGGCCCGCGGCCUAUCAGCUUGUUGGUGGGGUAAUGGCCUACCAAGGCGACGACGGGUAGCCGGCCUGAGAGGGCGACCGGCCACACUGGGACUGAGACACGGCCCAGACUCCUACGGGAGGCAGCAGUGGGGAAUAUUGCACAAUGGGCGAAAGCCUGAUGCAGCGACGCCGCGUGAGGGAUGACGGCCUUCGGGUUGUAAACCUCUUUCGACAGGGACGAAGCGUGAGUGACGGUACCUGUAGAAGAAGCACCGGCCAACUACGUGCCAGCAGCCGCGGUAAUACGUAGGGUGCGAGCGUUGUCCGGAAUUACUGGGCGUAAAGAGCUUGUAGGCGGCUUGUCGCGUCGAUCGUGAAAACUUGGGGCUCAACCCCAAGCUUGCGGUCGAUACGGGCAGGCUUGAGUACUUCAGGGGAGACUGGAAUUCCUGGUGUAGCGGUGAAAUGCGCAGAUAUCAGGAGGAACACCGGUGGCGAAGGCGGGUCUCUGGGAAGUAACUGACGCUGAGAAGCGAAAGCGUGGGUAGCGAACAGGAUUAGAUACCCUGGUAGUCCACGCCGUAAACGGUGGGUACUAGGUGUGGGUUUCCUU